rnacentral:tRNA from 1 species
GCCGACGUAGCUCAACGGUAGAGCACAGCUUUCGUAAAGCUGGGGUUGUGAGUUCGAUUCUCACCGUCGGCU